rnacentral:rRNA from 1 species
AACGAACGCUGGCGGCGCGUCUUAAGCAUGCAAGUCGAACGGCAAGAUUGGUGCUUGCACCGAUCCUAGAGUGGCGGACUGGUGAGUAACGCGUGGGUGACGUACCCUAAGGAUGGGGAUAGCUGGUAGAAAUAUCAGAUAAUACCGAAUAUCCUUAUUGUUGUUAGAGGACAGUAAGGAAAGGAGCUUUGGCUUCGCCUAAGGAUCGGCCCGCGUACUAUUAGCUAGUUGGUGAGGUAACGGCUCACCAAGGCGACGAUAGUUAUCCGGCCUAAGAGGGUGAACGGACACAUUGGGACUGAGAUACGGCCCAGACUCCUACGGGAGGCAGCAGCUAAGAAUAUUCCGCAAUGGAGGAAACUCUGACGGAGCGACGCCGCGUGGAUGAUGAAGGCCGGAAGGUUGUAAAAUCCUUUUAAGCAAGAAGAAUAAACUUUACAGGGAAUGGUAGAGUGGUGACGGUAUUGCUUGAAUAAGCAACGGCUAAUUACGUGCCAGCCGCCGCGGUAAUAC